rnacentral:tRNA from 1 species
GCCUCGAUGGUGAAAUUGGUAGACACAGCGGACUUAAAAUCCGCCGCAGCCUGAAAGGGCGCGUACCGGUUCGACCCCGGUUCGAGGCA